AUGAACGCUGGCGGCGUGCCUAAUACAUGCAAGUCGAGCGAACAGACGAGGAGCUUGCUCCUCUGACGUUAGCGGCGGACGGGUGAGUAACACGUGGAUAACCUACCUAUAAGACUGGGAUAACUUCGGGAAACCGGAGCUAAUACCGGAUAACAUGUUGAACCGCAUGGUUCAACAGUGAAAGACGGUCUUGCUGUCACUUAUAGAUGGAUCCGCGCCGCAUUAGCUAGUUGGUAAGGUAACGGCUUACCAAGGCAACGAUGCGUAGCCGACCUGAGAGGGUGAUCGGCCACACUGGAACUGAGACACGGUCCAGACUCCUACGGGAGGCAGCAGUAGGGAAUCUUCCGCAAUGGGCGAAAGCCUGACGGAGCAACGCCGCGUGAGUGAAGAAGGUCUUCAGAUCGUAAAACUCUGUUAUUAGGGAAGAACAAAUGUGUAAGUAACUAUGCACGUCUUGACGGUACCUAAUCAGAAAGCCACGGCUAACUACGUG
rnacentral:rRNA from 1 species